rnacentral:rRNA from 1 species
GGGCUCGAGCGCACAUACAUGCAGUCGACGGUAGAGGGGGCAACCCCUUGAGAGUGGCGAACGGGUGAGUAAUAUAUCGGAACGUGCCCAGUCGUGGGGGAUAACGUAGCGAAAGUUACGCUAAUACCGCAUACGAUCUACGGAUGAAAGCGGGGGAUCGCAAGACCUCGCGCGACUGGAGCGGCCGAUAUCAGAUUAGGUAGUUGGUGGGGUAAAGGCUCACCAAGCCAACGAUCUGUAGCUGGUCUGAGAGGACGACCAGCCACACUGGAACUGAGACACGGUCCAGACUCCUACGGGAGGCAGCAGUGGGGAAUUUUGGACAAUGGACGCAAGUCUGAUCCAGCCAUUCCGCGUGCAGGAUGAAGGCCCUCGGGUUGUAAACUGCUUUUGUACGGAACGAAAAGGUCUCUCCUAAUACGAGAGGCUCAUGACGGUACCGUAAGAAUAAGCACCGGCUAACUACGUGCCAGCAGCCGCGGUAAUACGUAGGGUGCAAGCGUUAAUCGGAAUUACUGGGCGUAAAGCGUGCGCAGGCGGUUAUAUAAGACAGAUGUGAAAUCCCCGGGCUCAACCUGGGAACUGCAUUUGUGACUGUAUAGCUAGAGUACGGUAGAGGGGGAUGGAAUUCCGCGUGUAGCAGUGAAAUGCGUAGAUAUGCGGAGGAACACCGAUGGCGAAGGCAAUCCCCUGGACCUGUACUGACGCUCAGGUGCGAAAGCGUGGGGAGCAAACAGGAUUAGAUACCCUGGUAGUCCACGCCGUAAACGAUGUCGACUUGGAGGUUGUGCCCUUGAGGCGUGGCUUCCGGAGCUAACGCGUUAAGUCGACCGCCUGGGGAGUACGGCCGCAAG